rnacentral:rRNA from 1 species
CAAUAGCGUAUAUUAAAGUUGUUGCAGUUAAAAAGCUCGUAGUUGGAUUUCUGGCAGGAGGAGCCGGUCACACACUCUGUGCGUGAACUCGUGCUGUCUCUGGCCAUCCUCGGGGAGAUCCUGUUUGGCAUUAAGUUGUCGGGCAGGGGAUACCCGUCGUUUACUGUGAAAAAUUAGAGUGUUUAAAGCAGGCUUAUGCCGUUGAAUAUAUUAGCAUGGAAUAAUAAGAUAGGACUUCGGAACUAUUUUGUUGGUUUGCGUUACGAAGUAAUGAUUAAUAGGGACAGUUGGGGGUGCUAGUAUUGGCCGGCCAGAGGUGAAAUUCUUGGAUUCGGUCAAGACUAACUUAUGCGAAAGCAUUCACCAAGGAUGUCUUCUUUAAUCAAGAACGAAAGUUGGGGGAUCGAAGACGAUUAGAUACCGU